AAUGGGCGCAAGCCUGAUGCAGCAACGCCGCGUGAGGGAUGAAGGCCUUCGGGUUGUAAACCUCUUUUAGCAGGGAAGAAGCGAAAGUGACGGUACCUGCAGAAAAAGCACCGGCUAACUACGUGCCAGCAGCCGCGGUAAUACGUAGGGUGCAAGCGUUGUCCGGAAUUAUUGGGCGUAAAGAGCUCGUAGGCGGUUUGUCGCGUCUGCUGUGAAAACUGGAAGCUCAACUUCCAGCCUGCAGUGGGUACGGGCAGACUAGAGUGCGGUAGGGGAGAACGGAAUUCCUGGUGUAGCGGUGGAAUGCGCAGAUAUCAGGAGGAACACCAAUGGCGAAGGCACAUCUCUGGGCCGUAACUGACGCUGAGGAGCGAAAGCGUGGGGAGCGAACAGGAUUAGAUACCCUGGUAGUCCACGCCGUAAACGGUGGGUGCUAGCUGUGGGCCACAUUCCACGUGGUCCGUGACGAAGUUAACACAUUAAGCACCCCGCCUGGGGAGUACGGCCGCAAGGCUAAAACUCAAAGGAAUUGACGGGGGCCCGCACAAGCGGCGGAGCAUGCGGAUUAAUUCGAUGCAACGCGAAGAACCUUACCAAGGCUUGACAUAUAGAGGAAAAGUGCAGAAAUGCACUCCCCGCAAGGUCUCUAUACAGGUGGUGCAUGG
rnacentral:rRNA from 1 species